CUUCAUCUUUAAUUCUCUCUCUCACCACCUCCAUCCCACCACCACACCUCCAUCAUCAACACCACCGUCAGCCAUGGCUCCCUCCAAUGCUUGAUGGCUGGUCCAUCUCCUAGUUAUCAGGUUCCCCAACAAAACCCCAUCACCGGAGACACCACUUUCAGAGAUCUCGCCGAGGAUAUAGUCUCCGUCGAUGGUAUGACCCCUUAAAUGUUUUUGUUUUCGUGUUCGCCAGAAUAUUUAGUCAAAGGCUCGGUCAAUAGUGCCAAACGUGUGCUAGGUUUCGGAAGGUCAAAAGUUGCGUUUCAAUCUCAGAUGGUCAACGCUUUUGACUUCCCCAGAAAGUUCACUGUCUGCUUAUCUUCUCUAAAUCUUUGUCUUACACUCCAUUGAUGUCAGUGGAUGGGUACUAUGUGAAUGUUAAUUCCAUCAACAUCGCCGCCGCUACAACCUCCAAUGCCGAAGAAUCAUUCAGUUUAAUUUGAGUGCUAAUAACCCUAACGGAAAAUAUCACAUUCACAAAGUUCAGCUAGCGAGGAACUCUGUCACGUUGGUGGGGGUGAGACGGUGGUGGUGGGUGUUUGGAGGUGGCGGUAGUGCGAUGGUGGUAGCAGUGGUGCGGAUGAUGGUGGGGCAGUGGUGGGGAUGGUGGCUGUGCGGUGGUGUUUACACAGAGAGAGAGAGAGAAGAGACUUGUACUUAUGUGCAUAUAAGACUUGUACUCUGUGUGUAAAUAACCAAAUUACCCUCAUAGUUAACAGACUUGGUGGAUGGAGUUAGAAAUUUGGACUCAAAUGGUUAAAGAAAA